UUUCCCGGUUAGCCCAUCCACUGGGAAAUCCCUCACCAUUUCUUCAAAAUUUUCAUACACCGAAACCAAAAGCAAUUUCCCGAUACAGAAAGCAAACUUAUUCCCCACGCGCCACCGCACGCUUGAAUCUUCUGGAAACAUGGAGCAGCAGCCCAAGGCGGGGACAGAGCAGAAGAAGGAAUCCACGGACCAGGAUCAGAAGCCGAACUCCGUACCCGAUCCGUCAACCGGAGAUAAUCAUCAUGCACCAAAUGGAAAUGCGAAUAAGGACAGUGUCUCGACGGGAUCGGAUUCUGAGACGCAGGGUCAGGGUGAGGGUGAUCAAUUGCAAUCUCCGAACCGUCCUGGGUCCGCAAGGAAAUCGGUCCACUGGAGCCCCGAAUUGGUCACUGAAUCUCAUGCUUCUCAGAACAAAAAUGGCAAUGACAACGUUCACUUUGACGGAUCCAAUCCCUACGUUUCUUCAUCUCCUGGACAGCUCUCUUCAUCAUUUUCCUUCAAAGAUAAGAUGGGAACCGUGCGGGAUGUCCUAGUAAGAUGGAGAAGAAAGAUGGGAGAAACUACUAGGAGGGCUGAGGAUCUCGCUGGGAACACAUGGCAGCACUGUGAGUUUUUUGUUUAGUCUUUUAAUUUUAAUGAUUUCGAAGUAUGAUUCUUAACAAAAUAUUCUUAACAAAAUGUUUAAUUGAAUUCUCUAAUGGAAGUGAAAUAGAUUAGUUUAUUUGUUUGAUGUAUCAUAUAUAGUUGUGGUAAAUAUUAAUGUUCAAUGAUUAUUCUGAUUCUUAACAUUAACCCUUCCCAGAACCCACUAAGAGAGGAUGCUUCUUGCAAUAAUGUCACAUAAAAUUGGAUGUUUGGUGACUCAAAACAAGCGUUAGACUCAAAACAAGCGUUAGACUUUCUUUUGUGCCAUAAGGAUUAUAUGAAAUAUUGGAACAGUUUGAUUGCAAAUUCUGAUUGGUUUUUGCUUCACUCUACCAUGUGACUUCUGUUGCAUUUUGAUAUAGCUUGAUUACCUUCUCUUUACUCUAAAAUGACUAAUCGCCCUUUUCUAUUUAAAUUAGUGAAGACAGCACCUAGCUUUGCAGAUGCUGCAUUGGGAAGAAUUGCUCAGGGAACAAAGGUCCUAGCAGAAGGUGGUUAUGAGAAGAUCUUUCGGCAGACGUUUGAAACAGUUCCUGAAGAGCUACUCCAAAACUCAUAUGCAUGUUACUUAUCAACAUCAGCUGGUCCAGUUAUGGGGAUUUUAUAUAUAUCUACAGCCAAGCUCGCAUUUUGUAGUGACAGUCCCCUUUCAUAUAAAUCUGGUGGCCAAACUGAAUGGAGCUAUUAUAAGGUGGUUAUCCCAUUGCAUCAGCUUCAAGCUGUCAAUCCUUCAUCAAGUAGAACAAAUCCUGCUGAGAAAUACAUUCAGAUUAUUUCUGUUGAUAAUCAUGAAUUUUGGUUCAUGGGCUUCUUAAACUACGAUGGUGCUGUGAAAUGUCUACAGGAUGCUUUGCAGGCCCAUAGUCUACAGUCUGUGUGAUACUAGACUACUAGUCCUUUCCGGUCAAACUUUUGCCAUCACAUAAUCUUAUCUUGUAAGCAGAAGUUUUCAACCUGUGCUGCCCAAGUGCGAAUGUGAUAACCGCGCAUGUUGCAAUUCCUUGGAAAUUUUUCUUUGUUCCUCAGGGAAUGAAAUUAGGUAAUCAGGGUUUAUAAACAUUUUCUUUUUCUAUAUAUAAUAUAUGUGUAUGUAUCAAAUCUUCUCUUUC
rnacentral:misc_RNA from 1 species